AUAUUCGAUCUGUUGGACUUUCAGACCAAAAGGAGUUUCAAUUUCAAUCUGAUCAGGUAGGGAAUGAGCAGCAUCAAUCUCUACUAAAACUCGCGCAAAAGAGAUCUUCUCAUAGUGAGCUGUGAAUUUAUCAUUGUACAAUGGUUUACCCACUGCACUAGCCAGUUUGCUCAGAACAUCAAUAGACCAGUAACCCACUGGAAGACCAGGAAAUCGAAUCCAUACAGGUACAGUGCUGAGUACAUCAUUUGGAAAGAAAAAUCCACCUCCCAUGGUUUCAACACCAUAGGUUUGUUUCUGUACGAGUACGGCCAAGAUUGAAUAACUAACUCUUUAUCCUCUUUACUAUUGAAACGAAAUAUGCAGUAACCUUCAGAAUGCAUCAGUAUCUGAGGUUUGGACACAAAAUUCCAGACAUGCAUCACGAAAUUCUCCAUCAUUUUAGCAUUAGGAUUGUCGCCAAUUACAUAUCCAAUAAAUGCAUUAGUCCAGUAAUCCACCUGAGAUUGUAGAUAUGAGGUUUGGACACAAAAUUCCAGACAUACAUCACAAAAUUCUCCAUCAUUUUAGCAUUAGGAUUGUAGCCAAUUACAUAUCCAAUUAAUGCAUCAGUCCAGUAAUCUACCUGAGAUUAUAGAUCCUCUACACUGAUUUUAACAACCU
rnacentral:lncRNA from 1 species